UACGGAGGAUCCGAGCGUUAUCCGGAUUUAUUGGGUUUAAAGGGUGCGCAGGCGGAAGAUUAAGUCGGUGGUGAAAUUUUGCAGCUCAACUGUAAAAGUGCCUUCGAAACUGGUUUCCUUGAGUGUAGAUGAAGUAGGCGGAAUUUGUGGUGUAGCGGUGAAAUGCAUAGAUAUCACGAGGAACUCCGAUUGCGCAGGCAGCUUACUAAACUACUACUGACGCUCAGGCACGAAGGCGUGGGGAUCAAACAGGAUUAGAUAUCCCGGUA
rnacentral:rRNA from 1 species